rnacentral:misc_RNA from 1 species
GCCCGUCACACCAUGGGAGUGGGUUGCUCCAGAAGUAGCUAGUCUAACCGCAAGGGGGACGGUUACCACGGAGUGAUUCAUGACUGGGGUGAAGUCGUAACAAGGUAGCCGUAGGGGAACCUGCGGCUGGAUCACCUCCUUAAUCGAAGAUCUCAGCUUCUUCAUAAGCUCCCACACGAAUUGCUUGAUUCACUGGUUAGACGAUUGGGUCUGUAGCUCAGUUGGUUAGAGCGCACCCCUGAUAAGGGUGAGGUCGGCAGUUCGAAUCUGCCCAGACCCACCAAUUGUUGGUGUGCUGCGUGAUCCGAUACGGGGCCAUAGCUCAGCUGGGAGAGCGCCUGCUUUGCACGCAGGAGGUCAGGAGUUCGAUCCUCCUUGGCUCCACCAUCUAAAACAAUCGUCGAAAGCUCAGAAAUGAAUGUUCGUGAAUGAACAUUGAUUUCUGGUCUUUGCACCAGAACUGUUCUUUAAAAAUUCGGGUAUGUGAUAGAAGUAAGACUGAAUGAUCUCUUUCACUGGUGAUCAUUCAAGUCAAGGUAAAAUUUGCGAGUUCAAGCGCGAAUUUUCGGCGAAUGUCGUCUUCACAGUAUAACCAGAUUGCUUGGGGUUAUAUGGUCAAGUGAAGAAGCGCAUACGGUGGAUGCCUUGGCCCCACAGGCG